UUGAAAGGGAAACGAUUGAAGUCAGUCGUACCGACGGAGGAUCAACCUUUGAAAGCGGGUCGAGGUAUUCGAGGAGUUUAAAAGCCCUCUUUGCGCUCACGUACUUCGUUUUCUUUGGUGCACUUCUUCGUAUUGGUAGGUUAACAUCAAUUUUGGACGUUACAAAAUGACUGGGGGAAUGUAGCUUCGAUUUUUCGAAGUGUUAUAGCCCUUGGUAGAUGUGACGACCGGGAUUGAGGAUUGCAACGAAUGCUUUCGGGCUAUCCGUCUGACCUCUGGUGGUUGCUUUAGGGUCGAAAGCNNGCUUACGACUUUAAAGUUGGCUAUCAAAAGGCUAGAACGUGAUUAAAUUCGUUAAGGAUGUUGACGUA
rnacentral:rRNA from 1 species